rnacentral:rRNA from 1 species
UACGGAGGAUGCGAGCGUUAUCCGGAUUUAUUGGGUUUAAAGGGUGCGUAGGCGGGAUGCCAAGUCAGCGGUAAAAAUGCGGUGCUCAACGCCGUCGAGCCGUUGAAACUGGCGUUCUUGAGUGGGCGAGAAGUAUGCGGAAUGCGUGGUGUAGCGGUGAAAUGCAUAGAUAUCACACAGAACACCGAUUGCGAAGGCAUCUCACGAAUCCGCGAUUGACGCUGAUGCACGAAAGCGUGGGUAUCAAACAGG